GCAUUUGUCUGUCAUGAUUGAUGUUUGUCAUGAUGUACUGCACAAACAUCUUUAAAAACACUGGAUGCUGCUACUUUCCAGAGCUGCUUAAAAGAAUUGUCAUGUCUCAGCUAAAAUGGAAAAGAAUUGCUCAUCUGAGGCAAAGAGCUCUCACAGAGCUUGUCUUCAAAAUCGGUAAUCAGAAGUGACUGCUCUUCAGGAGAUCAGAGCUUCCAAUGUAUCAUGCUGGGCUUCUAUUCUACCAGAGGAUGAAAUGACU